CAGUCGAGCGAACUGAUUAGAAGCUUGCUUCUAUGACGUUAGCGGCGGACGGGUGAGUAACACGUGGGCAACCUGCCUGUAAGACUGGGAUAACUCCGGGAAACCGGAGCUAAUACCGGAUAACAUUUUCUCUUGCAUAAGAGAAAAUUGAAAGAUGGUUUCGGCUAUCACUUACAGAUGGGCCCGCGGUGCAUUAGCUAGUUGGUGAGGUAACGGCUCACCAAGGCAACGAUGCAUAGCCGACCUGAGAGGG
rnacentral:rRNA from 1 species